UGCCACUGCAAUGUAUGUAUAUUGUUGAUU
rnacentral:piRNA from 1 species